CACUAGGCCCUUUUCAGGGCCACCAAACCUCAAGUUGGUCUCUGAU
rfam:Operophtera brumata OBRT01_Sc10174, whole genome shotgun sequence.